AAAAAAAAAACGAGGAAGAUUGGCAAUAGAUGUUAACUCAGGGCCAAUCUCCCUCACCAAAAAGCCUACUUUAAAAAAAAAAAGUCAAUAGCAAAUACUGGAAGCAGCAGUGAGCUCAGAAAAAGAUGCAAGUGCUGAUCAUGAACAUCAUAGAGAUGCGGGAAGAGCACCCACUAGCCCACCAGCAUUGUAACACUUGGCUCAAUUCAGCUGCCUUUGUACUGCUCUGCAGGUGGCAUGUCUUCUAGCUGGAGAUGGCUUUAGGCAGUUUCCCUUUGUAUGAUAAGGUUCAGGGAUAAUUUUUUCCUGCCAAGUCUUCGCACCCCAUUUGGUGGGGUUGAUGUGAGUAAAGGAUGACAGUGAGUGCUGGCAGUGAGGUCAAAACCUCAGAAAGGAGGUGUGGAAGCAGCAGCUGGUAUGAUCCUGGCCUGCUGGUUGGGAACACCCCUUGGUUAUAAAUUAUAUCGAUCUACCUUCUUAUUCUUUGGUAAAGAAAGCUAUUUGGUACCAGCUUUUUCCUUUGUGCUUUGAUAAUUGAUACCUCAGAGGAGUCAUUUCUGUUUCCUUUCUGUGAUUGCUUCAUCCUAAGAAUGGGAUGGAAGAGCUGUGGACUACAGAGCCCUCACUCUUGUGAUUGACUCUAACACAAGCAAGUCUGACAUUAGGGUGGAUCUGCAUCUGCAGCCUGAAGGGGAUCAGACCAAAAGGUGCGGUGACUGACCUGAACCAGAGAACAAGAGACCCCAGAAAGGCCAUCUGACCACUAAGGGAUUUGGUUUCUAUGCCUGAACAUGAAGAGUUUCUUAGAUUUCUUUUCUGAGACUGAAAGGUAGGGCUGUGUUAUUUUAGGGGAUAAUUUAUUGUUCUGCAGUGCCAUCAGGCCUUUCAGGCAGGAAUUCAGGAGAGCUGCUCACUCUGAAAAGCUGUUCAAAGGUCUACAGUUCUCUCGUCUCACUUAAGCUUUUGGAAGGCGUUGGAUGACUAACACCCACAGAACCUCGGAUUUCUACAAACUCUUUAUCUUCUAAGUUUUAAAAGAAUUUUUAUUUCCAAAUUCCCACAUGAGGGUAAGAAGUGGUACAGAUUGCUAUCCUAAUUUUACAGAUUGGAAGACUGAGAACAGAAGAAUAACAACUUAUCCAGAUUUACAUAGCUAGACUUUUCAAGAGCAGAUUUUUUCUGUGGCCCAAGUUAGGACUUUUUAGCUUUACGAAAAACAAAACCUCUUUUCUCCACCUGGUUUUUCUUUAUUCUUUUUGCUGCUGAUUCUACUUUGCUCUGGCCUGAGAAGAAUUGGAAGUCUUCCUGAGAAGGAAAUAGAACAACAUAGAAGAUAACAGGAGACAAAUGUUACAUGAAACUUUUGUUACGUGGUGAUAUACAUACAUACAAAUAUAUGUAUGUGCACAUAGGGUCAAGAUAUAAAAUGCAUUCUUUGCUGUGGGUUGUAAGGAAAGCAAAGCCAUAGUUCUACAGAAACUAGUUUAUGUGCUCAAAAAUGUUUAGUGUCAUUUUUCCCAGUUUUUGGCUAUUUCAACUUGGAUGUCUGUCUAUAGGAUGGAUAAACAAUGUAUUUAUACAAUGUUUAGCCACUGUGGAAAUUAAUGGACUAGAGCUAUAUUUCUACACUUGUAUCAGUCAUAUCAACAUGGAUAAAUCUCAACAAUGUGGAGUAGAGAAAAAGCAGGUUGCAGAAUAUAUACUACAUGAUGCUGUUUAUAUGAAGUUUAAAAAGACUAAACAAUACUACAUGUUGAUAAAGGAUACAUACACAUAUAGUAAGAAUAUAGAGAAAAGCAUGAGAAUAAUAAACACCAGAUUCAGGGUAAUGAUUACCUUCAGAAGGGGAGGUAGAAAGGGGUCACAAGGACUUGAACUUUAUUGGUAAAAUUUCUUGAGUAGUAGGGACACAGAUGUAUGUUAUUCUUUGUACCUGUAUGUAUAUCUUAAGUAUUUCAUAAAUUAAAAUUUUU
ensembl:lncRNA